rnacentral:rRNA from 1 species
AUUGAACGCUGGCGGCAGGCCUAACACAUGCAAGUCGAACGAGUGGCGGACGGGUGAGUAAUGUCUGGGAAACUGCCUGAUGGAGGGGGAUAACUACUGGAAACGGUAGCUAAUACCGCAUACCCUCGGAUGUGCCCAGAUGGGAUUAGCGAGUCGGUGGGGGAAAGGCUCACCUAGGCGACGAUCCCCUGCUGGGCUGAGAGGAUGACCGGCCACACUGGAACUGAGACACGGUCCAGACUCCUACGGGAGGCAGCAGUGGGGAAUCUUUCCCAAUGGGCGAAAGCCUGAUGCAGCCAGGCCGCGUGUAUGAAGAAGGCCUUCGGGUUGUAAAGUACUUUCAGCGGGGAGGCGUUACCCGCAGAAGAAGCACCGGCUAACUCCGUGCCAGCAGCCGCGGUAAUAC